rnacentral:tRNA from 1 species
AGAUUGAUAGCUCUGUGGGUUGAGUGCAGUGCUGAGAACACCGAGGUCCGAGGUUCGAUUCCCGUUCAGUCCU